GAUGAACGCUGGCGGCGUGCCUAAUACAUGCAAGUCGAGCGAACAGACGAGGAGCUUGCUCCUCUGACGUUAGCGGCGGACGGGUGAGUAACACGUGGAUAACCUACCUAUAAGACUGGGAUAACUUCGGGAAACCGGAGCUAAUACCGGAUAAUAUAUUGAACCGCAUGGUUCAAUAGUGAAAGACGGUUUUGCUGUCACUUAUAGAUGGAUCCGCGCCGCAUUAGCUAGUUGGUAAGGUAACGGCUUACCAAGGCAACGAUGCGUAGCCGACCUGAGAGGGUGAUCGGCCACACUGGAACUGGGACACGGUCCAGACUCCUACGGGAGGCAGCAGUAGGGAAUCUUCCGCAAUGGGCGAAAGCCUGACGGAGCAACGCCGCGUGAGUGAUGAAGGUCUUCGGAUCGUAAAACUCUGUUAUUAGGGAAGAACAAAUGUGUAAGUAACUAUGCACGUCUUGACGGUACCUAAGCAGAAAGCCACGGCUAACUACGU
rnacentral:rRNA from 1 species